rnacentral:rRNA from 1 species
UACGGGGGGGGCAAGCGUUGUUCGGAAUUACUGGGCGUAAAGAGCGCGUAGGCGGCCUGCUAAGUCGGAUGUGAAAUCCCUCGGCUCAACCGAGGAACUGCAUCCGAUACUGGCGGGCUUGAAUCCGGGAGAGGGAUGUGGAAUUCCAGGUGUAGCGGUGAAAUGCGUAGAUAUCUGGAGGAACACCGGUGGCGAAGGCGGCAUCCUGGACCGGUAUUGACGCUGAGGCGCGAAAGCUAGGGGAGCAAACGGG